CAGAUAUCAGGAGGAACACCGAUGGCGAAGGCAGGUCUCUGGGCAUUAACUGACGCUGAGGAGCGAAAGCAUGGGGAGCGAACAGGAUUAGAUACCCUGGUAGUCCAUGCCGUAAACGUUGGGCACUAGGUGUGGGGGACAUUCCACGUUUUCCGCGCCGUAGCUAACGCAUUAAGUGCCCCGCCUGGGGAGUACGGCCGCAAGGCUAAAACUCAAAGGAAUUGACGGGGGCCCGCACAAGCGGCGGAGCAUGCGGAUUAAUUCGAUGCAACGCGAAGAACCUUACCAAGGCUUGACAUGGACUGGAUCGCCGCAGAAAUGUGGUUUCCCCUUUGGGGCCGGUUCACAGGUGGUGCAUGGUUGUCGUCAGCUCGUGUCGUGAGAUGUUGGGUUAAGUCCCGCAACGAGCGCAACCCUCGUUCUAUGUUGCCAGCGCGUUAUGGCGGGGACUCAUAGGAGACUGCCGGGGUCAACUCGGAGGAAGGUGGGGACGACGUCAAAUCAUCAUGCCCCUUAUGUCUUGGGCUUCACGCAUGCUACAAUGGCCGGUACAAAGGGUUGCGAUACUGUGAGGUGGAGCUAAUCCCAAAAAGCCGGUCUCAGUUCGGAUUGGGGUCUGCAACUCGACCCCAUGAAGUCGGAGUCGCUAGUAAUCGCAGAUCAGCAACGCUGCGGUGAAUACGUUCCCGGGCCUUGUACACACCGCCCGUCAAGUCACGAAAGUUGGUAACACCCGAAGCCGGUGGCCUAACCCCUUGUGGGAGGGAGCUGUCGAAGGUGGGACUGGCGAUUGGACUAAG
rnacentral:rRNA from 1 species